rnacentral:rRNA from 1 species
CCUACGGGGGGCUGCAGUAGGGAAUCUUCCACAAUGGGCGAAAGCCUGAUGGAGCAACGCCGCGUGGGUGAAGAAGGUCUUCGGAUCGUAAAACCCUGUUGUUAGAGAAGAAAGUGCGUGAGAGUAACUGUUCACGUUUCGACGGUAUCUAACCAGAAAGCCACGGCUAACUACGUGCCAGCAGCCGCGGUAAUACGUAGGUGGCAAGCGUUAUCCGGUUUUAUUGGGCGUAAAGGGCACGCAGGGGGUCUUUUAAGUCUGAUGUGAAAGCCUUCGGCUUAACCGGAGUAUUGCAUUGGAAACUGGGAGACUUGAGUGCAGAAGAGGUGGGUGGAACUCCAGGUGUAGCGGUGAAAUGCGUAGAUAUAUGGAAGAACACCGGUGGCGAAGGCAGCUCUCUGGUCUGUAACUGACGCUGAGGUUCGAAAGCGUGGGUAGCAAACAGGAUUAGAUACCCGGGUAGUC